rnacentral:rRNA from 1 species
CAAUAGCGUAUAUUAAAGUUGUUGCGGUUAAAAAGCUCGUAGUUGGAUUUCUGUUGAGAACAGGCGGUCCACCCUUUUGGGUGAGUAUCUGCAUUGGUCUCGGCAUCUUCUUGAAAACGUUACCUGCGCUUGAUUGCGUGGGCGGAGUUCUAGGACUUUUUACUUUGAGGAAAUUAGAGUGUUCACGGCAGGCAUACGCCUUGAAUACAUUAGCAUGGAAUAAUAAGAUAGGACCUCGGUUCUAUUUUGUUGGUUUCUAGAGCUGAGGUAAUGAUUAAUAGGGAUAGUUGGGGCGAUUCGUAUUUAACUGUCAGAGGUGAAAUUCUUGGAUUUAUUAAAGACGGACUACUGCGAAAGCAUUUGCCAAGGAUGUUUUCAUUGAUCAAGAACGAAAGUUAGGGGAUCGA